UCUGAUUGAUCCUGCCAGUAGUUAUAUGCUUGUCUCAAAGAUUAAGCCAUGCAUGUCUAAGUACACACAAAUUAACAGUGAAACCGCUAAAGGCUCAUUAUAUCAGUUAUGGUUCCUUAGAUCGUUAACAGUUACUUGGAUAACUGUGGUAAUUCUAGAGCUAAUACAUGCAAUUAAAACACGGACCUUUUGGAACGUGUGCUUUUAUUAGGCUAAAACCAAGCGAUCGCAAGAUCGUUUUAUUGGCUGAACUCUAGAUACAUGCAGAUCGUAUGGUCUUGUACCGACGACAGAUCUUUCAAAUGUCUGCCCUAUCAACUUUUGAUGGUAGUAUCUAGGACUACCAUGGUUGCAACGGGUAACGGGGAAUCAGGGUUCGAUUCCGGAGAGGGAGCCUGAGAAACGGCUACCACAUCUAAGGAAGGCAGCAGGCGCGUAAAUUACCCACUCCCAGCUCGGGGAGGUAGUGACGAAAAAUAACAAUACAGGACUCAUAUCCGAGGCCCUGUAAUUGGAAUGAGUACACUUUAAAUCCUUUAACAAGGACCUAUUGGAGGGCAAGUCUGGUGCCAGCAGCCGCGGUAAUUCCAGCUCCAAUAGCGUAUAUUAAAGUUGUUGCGGUUAAAACGUUCGUAGUUGAACUUGUGCUUCAUACGGGUAGUACAACUUACAAUUGUAGUUAGUACUAUACCUUUAUGUAUGUUAGCGUAUUACCGGUGGAGUUCUUAUAUUUUAUUAAAUACUUGUAUUUAUUUAUAUAUUCCUUCUAUUUAAAAACCUGCAUUAGUGCUCUUCAUCGAGUGUUAUUGUGGGCCGGUACAAUUACUUUGAACAAAUUAGAGUGCUUAAAGCAGGCUUCAAAGGCCUGAAUAUUCUGUGCAUGGCAUAAUGAAAUAAGACCUCUGUUCUACUUUCAUUGGUUUUCAGAUCAAGAGGUAAUGAUUAAUAGAAGCAGUUUGGGGGCAUUAGUAUUACGACGCGAGAGGUGAAAUUCUUGGACCUUCGUAAGAAAAACUUAAGCGAAAGCAUUUGACUGUGGAGAGUUGCCUUGCCGGCAUAAGUCAAUUAUGUUUAUAUAAAAAGAUAGCGGAAUACAUAACUGCACUAAACAAGAAAAAAGCCCCAGGCGAUGAUCGUAUCAAUGCAAUGGCAUUAAAGCUGCUACCGCAAAGAAGCAUCUCGUUCAUCACCGAAAUAUAUAACAGAUGCAUGGCAAUCGGCUACUUCCUAGCGCAAUGGAAAAGUUCGCAAGUAGUAAUGAUACCUAAGCCUGGUAAACCUGAAGAUAAUCUGGCCUCCUAUCGCCCGAUUAGUUUACUGCCAGCACUCUCCAAGAUACUAGAAAGAGUAUUUUUAAGUAGAGUUUUGUCAGUAUUGGUCUCAUCCCGGAUCACCAAUUUGGUUUCAAUGCCACAGAGUUGUUCAAACUAUCCUCGACGCAUUUGAGGAGAAAAAAUAUUGCUACGCCGUAUUCCUCGAUGUCAAACAAGCCUUCGACAGAGUUUGGCAUCCUGGGCUCCUGCAAAAGCUCAAGGGUAACCUCCCACACGCCUACUUCUUGUUUCUGGCUUCAUAUCUGGAGAACCGAACAUUCCAAGUUAAAUGUGGGGAAACAUGGCCCAACACCAAACACAUUCAUGCUGGCGUCCCUCAAGGAAGUGUUCUGGGUCCGCUGCUCUAUAACCUGUACACAGCUGACAUGCCCGUCACUGGGAACCCAAACGUGCGCGUUGCCACGUACGCCG
rnacentral:rRNA from 1 species